rnacentral:rRNA from 1 species
GAGUUUGAUCUUGGCUCAGAUUGAACGCUGGCGGCAGGCCUAACACAUGCAAGUCGAGCGGAUGAAGGGAGCUUGCUCCUGGAUUCAGCGGCGGACGGGUGAGUAAUGCCUAGGAAUCUGCCUGGUAGUGGGGAUAACGUCCGGAAACGGGCGCUAAUACCGCAUACGUCCUGAGGGAGAAAGUGGGGGAUCUUCGGACCUCACGCUAUCAGAUGAGCCUAGGUCGGAUUAGCUAGUUGGUGGGGUAAAGGCCUACCAAGGCGACGAUCCGUAACUGGUCUGAGAGGAUGAUCAGUCACACUGGAACUGAGACCCGGUCCAGACUCCUACGGGAGGCAGCAGUGGGGAAUAUUGGACAAUGGGCGAAAGCCUGAUCCAGCCAUGCCGCGUGUGUGAAGAAGGUCUUCGGAUUGUAAAGCACUUUAAGUUGGGAGGAAGGGCAGUAAGUUAAUACCUUGCUGUUUUGACGUUACCAACAGAAUAAGCACCGGCUAACUUCGUGCCAGCCGCGCGGUAAG